rnacentral:rRNA from 1 species
UACGGGGGGGGCAAGCGUUGUUCGGAAUUACUGGGCGUAAAGGGCUCGUAGGCGGCCAACUAAGUCGGAUGUGAAAUCCCCAAGCUUAACUUGGGAACUGCAUCCGAUACUGGAUGGCUUGAAUCCGGGAGAGGGAUGCAGAAUUCCAGGUGUAGCGGUGAAAUGCGUAGAUAUCGGGAGGAACACCAGUGGCGAAGGCGGCUUUCUGGCCUGUUCUUGACGCUGAGGCGCGAAAGCUAGGGGAGCAAACGGG